rnacentral:rRNA from 1 species
CUACGGAGGGUGCAAGCGUUAAUCGGAAUUACUGGGCGUAAAGCGCGCGUAGGCGGUUCGGUAAGUUGGAUGUGAAAGCCCAGGGCUCAACCUUGGAACUGCAUUCAAAACUGCCAGGCUAGAGUACGGUAGAGGGGGGUAGAAUUCCACGUGUAGCGGUGAAAUGCGUAGAGAUGUGGAGGAAUACCAGUGGCGAAGGCGGCCCCCUGGAUCGAUACUGACGCUGAGGUGCGAAAGCGUGGGGAGCAAACAGGAUUAGAUACCCUAGUAGUCC